GGGGAAUAUUGCGCAAUGGACGCAAGUCUGACCCAGCAACGCCGCGUGAAAGAAGAAGGCUUUCGGGUUGUAAACUUCUUUUAAGGGGGAAGAGUAGAAGACGGUACCCCUUGAAUAAGCCACGGCUAACUACGUGCCAGCAGCCGCGGUAAUACGUAGGGGGCGAGCGUUGCCCGGAAUUACUGGGCGUAAAGGGAACGUAGGUGGCUCUUAAAGUCAGGUGUGAAAUCUGGGGGCUCAACCUCCAAACUGCAUUUGAAACUACUUUUCUCGAGUAUCGGAGAGGUAAUCGGAAUUCCUUGUGUAGCGGUGAAAUGCGUAGAUAUAAGGAAGAACACCAGUGGCGAAGGCGGAUUACUGGACGACAACUGACGGUGAGGCGCGAAAGCGUGGGGAGCAAACA
rnacentral:rRNA from 1 species